UUUGUAUAAUGGGUCAGCGACUUAUAUUCAGUGGCAAGGUUAACCAUCUAGGGGAGCCGUAGGGAAACCGAGUCUUAACUGGGCGUUCAGUCUCUGGAUAUAGACCCGAAACCAGGUGAUCUAGCCAUGGGCAGGUUGAAGGUUGAGUAACAUCAACUGGAGGACCGAACCGACUAAUGUUGAAAAAUUAGCGGAUGACUUGUGGCUAGGGGUGAAAGGCCAAUCAAACCUGGAGAUAGCUGGUUCUCCCCGAAAGCUAUUUAGGUAGCGCCUCGGACGAAUACUACUGGGGGUAGAGCACUGUUAAGGCUAGGGGGUCAUCCCGACUUACCAACCCUUUGCAAACUCCGAAUACCAGUAAGUACUAUCCGGGAGACACACGGCGGGUGCUAACGUCCGUCGUGGAGAGGGAAACAACCCAGACCGCCAGCUAAGGUCCCAAAUUACUACUAAGUGGGAAACGAUGUGGGAAGGCUCAGACAGCCAGGAUGUUGGCUUAGAAGCAGCCAUCAUUUAAAGAAAGCGUAAUAGCUCACUGGUCGAGUCGGCCUGCGCGGAAGAUGUAACGGGGCUAAGUAGUAAACCGAAGCUGCGGCAAUGUGCUUUUGCACAUUGGGUAGGGGAGCGUUCUGUAAGCGGUUGAAGGUGUGUGGUAACGCAUGCUGGACGUAUCAGAAGUGCGAAUGCUGACAUGAGUAACGAUAAAGGGGGUGAAAAACCUCCUCGCCGGAAGACCAAGGGUUCCUGUCCAACGUUAAUCGGGGCAGGGUAAGUCGACCCCUAAGGCGAGGCCGAAAGGCGUAGUCGAUGGGAAACGGGUUAAUAUUCCCGUACUUCUUACAAUUGCGAUGGGGGGACGGAGAAGGCUAGGUGGGCCUGGCGACGGUUGUCCAGGUUCAAGUGCGUAGGCUUAAGAGUUAGGUAAAUCCGGCUCUUUUUAAGGCUGAGACACGACGUCGAGCACCUACGGGUGUGAAGUCAUUGAUGCCAUGCUUCCAGGAAAAGCCUCUAAGCUUCAGAUUGUAAGGAAUCGUACCCCAAACCGACACAGGUGGUCGGGUAGAGAAUACCAAGGCGCUUGAGAGAACUCGGGUGAAGGAACUAGGCAAAAUGGUACCGUAACUUCGGGAGAAGGUAC
rnacentral:rRNA from 1 species